rnacentral:rRNA from 1 species
ACGUUGUCCGGAAUUACUGGGCGUAAAGAGCUCGUAGGCGGUUCGUCACGUCGUCUGUGAAAUCCUCCAGCCCAACUGGGGGCGUGCAGGCGAUACGGGCAGACUUGAGUACUACAGGGGAGACUGGAAUUCCUGGUGUAGCGGUGAAAUGCGCCGAUAUCCAGAGAGAGCACCGGUGGCGAAAGCGGGUCUCUGGGUAGUAACUGACGCUGAGGAGCGAAAGCAUGGGGAGCAAACAGGAUUAGAUACCCUGGUAGUCCAUGCCGUCCGACGGUGGGCGCGCGGUGUGUGUGUCGGUCCUCCGAUGCAGUUCCGGAGCUAACGUCAUGACCGCGUUCCGCCCGGCGAGUGGAGGAGUACGGCCAAGAUGCUAAUGAAUCGAGUGAGGUCGGACGGGCGGCCCGAACAGGCGGAGGAUCAUGUGGAUUAAUUCGAUGACACCUCAAUUAACCUUACCUAUGCUUGACAUAUACAGGACGACGGCAGAGAUGUCGUUUCCCUUGUGGCUUGUAUACAGGUGGUGCAUGGUUGUCGUCAGCUCGUGUCGUGAGAUGUUGGGUUAAGUCCCGCAACGAGCGCAACUCCUGUCUCAUGUUGCCAGCACGUUAUGGUGGGGACUCGUGAGAGACUGCCGGGGUCAACUCGGAGGAAGGUGGGGAUGACGUCAAAUCAUCAUGCCCCUUAUGUCUAAGGCUUCACACAUGCUACAAUGGCUAGUACAGAGGGCUGCGAGACCGCGACGGUGGAGCGAAUCCCUUAAAGCUAGUCUCGGUUCGGAUUGGGGUC